rnacentral:rRNA from 1 species
UACAGAGGUGGCAAGCGUUGUUCGGAAUUACUGGGCGUAAAGGGCGCGUAGGCGGUCCGAUAAGUCCCGUGUGAAAUCCCUCGGCUCAACUGAGGAAUGGCACGGGAAACUGCCGGGCUUGAGUUCGGGAGAGGGAAGCGGAAUUCCGGGUGUAGCGGUGAAAUGCGUAGAUAUCCGGAGGAACACCGGUGGCGAAGGCGGCUUCCUGGACCGACGCUGACGCUGAGGCGCGAAAGCUAGGGGAGCAAACGGG